rnacentral:rRNA from 1 species
CCUACGGGCGGCAGCAGUGGGGAAUAUUGGACAAUGGGGGCAACCCUGAUCCAGCCAUGCCGCGUGUGUGAAGAAGGCCCUCGGGUUGUAAAGCACUUUCAGUGAGGAAGAACGCCUGGUGGUUAAUACCCAUCAGGAAAGACAUCACUCACAGAAGAAGCACCGGCUAACUCCGUGCCAGCAGCCGCGGUAAUACGGAGGGUGCGAGCGUUAAUCGGAAUUACUGUGCGUAAAGCGCGCGUAGGUGGCUUGAUAAGCCGGUUGUGAAAGCCCCGGGCUCAACCUGGGAACGGCAUCCGGAACUGUCAAGCUAGAGUGCAGGAGAGGAAGGUAGAAUUCCCGGUGUAGCGGUGAAAUGCGUAGAGAUCGGGAGGAAUACCAGUGGCGAAGGCGGCCUUCUGGACUGACACUGACACUGAGGUGCGAAAGCGUGGGUAGCAAACAGGAUUAGAUACCCUUGUAGUC